UCAGUUGCUUUGAGUUCUGUCUGGAUGGAGGAUAGAUUUGGUACUUGACACUUCCUGCAAUAAGAGGGUCAAAUUUGUGAACUACAAUACCAAUUUUUUCCACAAUUUAAACAUUUACAUACAACCCAGCUAGUGUGUCCAGUAUUAGGAUGAAUCAGACAGGGUAUAUGGUAUGGCACUGAUGGAAAUUGUAAUUUCUCCUCUUCUUUAUAUGUCACAGAAUAUGAGAACCAAAACGGUCCUGAUCCUCCUGUUUGAAGUGGAAGUAUUCCUCCCCAAGGAGGGUGUCAGAGGCAUCUCGGGACUUGUCCAGGCAGCACUUGAAACCACUGAUGGACCUCGGCAGUCUGGGAGGCACCCCCGGCAGCUCCGCCGCUGAGCCAGCCUUCUCCUCAGCGGCAAACCCGCACAAUCCACGCCCAGCACCACUGCCGGGCCGGCGAGCACAUCCGGCAACCCCGCAUCCUCCGGGACCCUGGCACAACUGAGCCAGCCCCCAGCCCCCAGCAGCGUCUCACGCAAACCGCGCCCUGUGCCACCUCCACCGCGUGGGCAAACGCUGGAAGUUGCUGCGCCAGGUCACCCACAUUAAACAGCCCCUGCCACAGCCCCCUGAGACCUUGUCGCUCGCUCAAGAGCGGCCAAACACCUCCUAAACUUGAUAAGCCCCAGCCUGGCAUCCCCAGGUGUCCCUGAUAUUCUUUUCCUUUUGUAAGCAUCUGGGCAAACUAUCAGCAUAUUUUAUCUUCCCUUCAAGGAGGGCUUUUCUGCUAGAUCUUCCUGAAUCCCAGUUCAGCACUGAACAACCUCCAAACAACCAUGUGUUAAGACACCUCCCUGCUCUUCAUACAGAAAUUGUAUUCAAACUCCUGUCCUCCUCCAGUACCAAGUUAUCAUUAUUCCACAUUCCAACAUUAUAGUCUAUUAACCACUUUUUUUUUCUUUUUCAACCUCUCUUUUUCUUUUUUCAUUUUUUUCUCUUUGUUUUUUUUUUCUCCACUCUAUUUUUCCUCUGAAUUAACACACUUUGGACUGCAUGAGGUGUACA
rnacentral:lncRNA from 1 species